rnacentral:rRNA from 1 species
AUACGUAGGUGACAAGCGUUAUCCGGAUUUACUGGGCGUAAAGGGCGUGUAGGCGGUCUUGCAAGUCAGAAGUGAAAUUCCUGAGCUCAACUCGGGCGCUGCUUCUGAAACUGCAGGACUUGAGUGCUGGAGGGGAUAGCGGAAUUCCUAGUGGAGCGGUAAAAUGCGCAGAUAUUAGGAAGAACACCGGUGGCGAAGGCGGCUAUCUGGACAGUAACUGACUCUGAGGCGCGAAAGCGUGGGGAGCAAACAGUAUUAGAUACCCAGGUAGUCCACGCCGUAAACGAUGAAUACUAGGUGUAGGGGGUAUCGACUCCCUCUGUGCCGCAGUUAACACAAUAAGUAUUCCGCCUGGGGAGUACGGCCGCAAGGUUGAAACUCAAAUGAAUUGACGGGG